AUUGAACGCUGGCGGCAUGCUUAACAAAUGCAAGUCGAACGGCAGCACAGUGUGUAGCAAUACACAUGGGUGGCGAGUGGCGGACGGGUGCGUAAUACGCAGGAAUCUACCCCAAAAUGGGGGAUAACCCGGGGAAACUCGGGCUAAUACCGCAUAAUCUCUACGGAGCAAAGCGGAGGACCUUCGGGCUUCGCGUUUUGGGCGGAGCCUGCGUCGGAUUAGCUAGUUGGUAGGGUAAAGGCCUACAAAGGCAACAAUCAGUAGCUGGUCUGAGAGGAUGAUAAGCCACACUGGGACUGAGACACGGCCCAGACUCCUACGGGAGGCAGCAGUGGGUAAUAUUGGACGAUGGGCGAAAGCCUGAUCCAGCAAUGCCGCGUGUGUGAAGAAGGCCUUCGGGUUGUAAAGCACUUUUAUUGAAGAAGAAUACGGUUUUGGCUAAUAUCCAAAACAAAUGACUGUACUCAAUGAAUAAGCACCGGCUAACUCUGUGCCAGCAGCCGCAGUAAGAC
rnacentral:rRNA from 1 species